UGUCUUCCGACAGUGGCCAAUGGCAGGUGUCCCAGAGGGAAUGAACAGAACAGGGUGUUUGAUCUGGCAGCCCUGGACUCUGCAGCCUUGUUCGCUACCUGUGGUGUCUGGAGCGAGAGGAAAGGAUGUGUCCUGAAGCUGGCUGGAGUGGAGGAUCUGGUAGGAUAACAAGGGGCACAGCCAGUACGCUUGGGGACAAUGGAACUCGAGUUCCAUUCAAAUUGGGAGCCAAAAAUUCAUAUAAAAGCCACUUCCAAACUUGCUAAACCUCUUGGAUUGGCAAACACAGGAUGGAAAUCACAGGAGAUGAGGCUUUCUCCUAAGAUCUUCAAUCAGAUCUACAGUACUAGA